AACCCAUGGUGAGGGCACCUUUUCAAUAGAUCUUUGUACCUCUCCCAUGCAUCAUAAAAGGUUUUUAAAUCCAUCUGCACAAAAGAAGAGAUAUCAUUCCUUAGUUU
rfam:Gossypium hirsutum cultivar TM-1 chromosome 15, whole genome shotgun sequence